rnacentral:rRNA from 16 species
CAGCAGCCGCGGUAAUACGUAGGGGGCGAGCGUUAUCCGGAUUCAUUGGGCGUAAAGCGCUCGUAGGCGGUCCGUUAGGUCGGGAGUCAAAUCCGGGGGCUCAACCCCCGCCCGCUCCCGAUACCGGCGGACUUGAGUUUGGUAGGGGAAGGCGGAAUUCCAAGUGUAGCGGUGGAAUGCGCAGAUAUUUGGAAGAACACCGGUGGCGAAGGCGGCCAUCUGGCACGAUACUGACGCUGAGGCGCGAAAGCGUGGGGAGCAA